rnacentral:rRNA from 1 species
ACUCUCGUGUCAGAGUUUGAUCCUGGCUCAGAACGAACGCUGGCGGCAGGCUUAACACAUGCAAGUCGAACGCCCCGCAAGGGGAGUGGCAGACGGGUGAGUAACGCGUGGGAACAUACCCUUUCCUGCGGAGUAGCUCCGGGAAACUGGAAUUAAUACCGCAUACGCCCUACGGGGGAAAGAUUUAUCGGGGAAGGAUUGGCCCGCGUUGGAUUGGCUAGUUGGUGGGUAAAGGCCUACCAAGGCGACGAUCCAUAGCUGGUCUGAGAGGAUGAUCAGCCACAUUGGGACUGAGACACGGCCCAG